rnacentral:rRNA from 1 species
GACGAACGCUGGCGGCGUGCUUAACACAUGCAAGUCGAACGAAGUGGAGAACGGGUUAGUAACGCGUAAUCAACCUGCCCUUCAGAGGGGGACAACAGUUGGAAAAGACUGCUAAUACCUCAUACUGAAGGAGGGGAUUCUGUCUGAUUAGCUAGUUGGAGGGGUAACGGCCCACCAAGGCGAUGAUCAGUAGCCGGUCUGAGAGGAUGAACGGCCACAUUGGGACUGGGACACGGCCCAGACUCCUACGGGAGGCAGCAGUGGGGAAUCUUCCGCAAUGGACGAAAGUCUGACGGAGCAACGCCGCGUGAGUGAUGACGGCCUUCGGGUUGUAAAGCUCUGUUAAUCGGGACGCGGUACCGGAAUAGAAAGCCACGGCUAACUACGUGCCAGCAGCCGCGGUAAUUC